rnacentral:sRNA from 1 species
ACCGCGUCUAGCCCGACGGGGCGAAAACGGGGUUCCCUCACCUCGCUGGCGCGGUUUCUUUUCCGUCGAGGG